UGAGAUUGGAGUGUAUUUGGAAGACAUCAUUGGCUUGUUUUUUCCUUUCCAAGAAAGAGGAUGCUUAUUUAGAUUGAGAUGGUUUGGCUAAUAAAUUAUGAUAUAUUUAUAGGAAAAAGGUGCAAUACGUGUUAGUAGGAUAUGUCGGUUGAGCAAUAAAGAGUAUUAGUUAUCAGGAUAAGCACAAAAUAGUGGAACAAAAUUAGGAAGUGGCCA
rnacentral:lncRNA from 1 species